AAGAUUUUAAAGGUCGAACAGACCUAAUUUUUAAGCUUCUACACCUAAAUAUAUUCUUAAUCCAACAUCGAGGUCGCAACCCUUAUUGUCGAUAUGAACUCUUAAAAAAGAUUACG
rnacentral:rRNA from 1 species